rnacentral:rRNA from 1 species
GUAAAUAAGGAGUAUGAAAACAUAAAAUUAUGGCGGUACUUUAAGCUUUUCAGAGGAAUUUGCUCUUUAAUGGAUAAAACGCCUAAAUCUUACUAAAAUUUGUUAUUUCAGUUUGUAUACCACUAUUAAAGUAAUAGCUAACAACUAUUUCUGUAACUUUUUUCAAAAAGAAUAGGUUAAGUCAUGGUGCAGCAAAAAUUUUAGGAUGAAGUGAAUUACAUUUCUUUUAAGAAAAUUUUAAUUAAACUAAUUAUUUAGGAUUUGAAAGUAAAAGUUCAAUAAAAUGGAAUUUUGAAUAGAGUUCUGAAGUAUGUAC